ACGGAACGCAGAUAUUCUUCCCCUCUGUGGAAGCAGGAAUCAUGCCCCAGAAGGACUCUGCAAUGCAAAAUGGGUCACAGGCUAGCUCCUCUGUCAGUUCUGACAUGCCAGGAGGUCCAGGCCUAAUGAUGGAAGAAGGGCUGGACAUUUUCUGGGCCUGCCUGAGUCCUCUGCUGGCAGAGUUGAAUGACUAAAGUGGAUUGCCUAGGGGUGACUGCCAGCUUGGGAACCCCGUUUGUCUCUUUAUGAGCCAAAAGACUGCACUCUCUGGUUCUUCACAGGCAGGAGGGGUGAGAGGGAAAUAGUCUUCUGACAUCCCCUGCAAAACUUCUUCUGAUCCACCCUUUCUUCUCUUUCAGGCUGUGCACAUUCCUGGACUGGGGACUUUCAUGGUUGUCAGAGAGCGCGUAGUCAGCCAGAAGGGUCUGGUUACUGUUGAGAGACCCCUGUUUCACCUGGCAAAGGCUCUUGCGCAGGACCAUGACCUCCAGUAUGACUCCAUAGAUGUUGCAGGUAGGAGAGUGAAGUCUGACAGAGGUGCUUCCCUGGCACCAGAGUGGGGAAAGGGUGCCAGACUGCCAUUAUAGAUGGUAAUACAGUGUAACAGCACACUCUCUUUCACCUGCUUCAACAAUGGGUUUCAUUCCGGUCUCAUUGGCUCCGUGUCUCAGCGUCUCCUCAGAGACAUACCAAUGGUGCCACUUCAAAAUCUCAAGAGUAGCGUAUUGCCUGUGGGGCUGGAAGCUGCUGACUUUUGAUUGUAGCCCACUCAGUGGCUCUCCAAGUGCUCACGUUCUCUCCUCUUCUUUCGCCAGGACAUGACCAGUAUCAGCAACUUCCGUAUGCUCAGAUAGCCUCAGAAAAUGGCAUCUCUGCAGACGCGGCGCAGCUUUGCGUGGAAAGGACCGUGUGCCUUUUCAGCGCCUGCAUAGAGAAGAGGCGGAACGUUGCUUUCAUUUGGAGAGACGUUGGCAUGCUGCUGAUUGAAGGAAAACGGGUCCAAAUGAAAUUCUAUGAGGACUUCCUGGAGAAGCUCAACGGGACUGCUGACAUGUUGCAGGCUCUUCUUGGGGUAGGUUUUGCAUUUUCCCAGCACUACCUCUGAUUCUUCUGAAAUGCCUUCCGGGGACUAGGGGACUGCUUUCUCCUGGCCUGCCAUGCUUCUUCAGCCACCUGGGCUCCUGGUGGUCUGCAGGAAAGCAGGCUCUGUAGAGCUCUUCCCUUACACGAGGGGGCGCGGCUCUGUGCCAGGAUAUGCACCCUCAAAAGGCCUUGCUUGUUGUCAAGAGACCAGAGGAGCGGUGAGCGUCACUGCUCAGUCCCAACUCAGAGCAUGGAGCAGAGACACAGGCACAGCAAGGCUUGCUGAGGCCCGAACCCUCCCUUUGGCAGCUUGUGUUGUGUUGGGCUAAGACAGAUUGGAGCUGCCAGCCAUUCCCAUUGUCCCCAUCUCCCAUCGUCUGUCUCCGUUCUGAUUGCAGAUGCCAGAAAUGAGCAAAUCGGUCAUCUCACGCAAUGACUGCGUAGCUUCCCAAACAACUUCCGGACGUGUUACUGUCUUUCCAAUGUACGAGCACAAGUGCAUAAUUAAAAUGACUGAAACACCAAAGGUGGACCUGAAGUACCACGUGAAGACCAGACACGAGCAAGGCUGGGCAAGACCUGGUGACAGUGGCACGAAAGGUAAGGGCACCUGUGAGUUGCCAGCAGGGGCCUCUUUGUUUUCCUUCCUCCUCAUCUGGAGACGAUUAGAACUGACAUGACCACAGAGCGCCUGGAAGAGCAUGAGACACAUUGGGUGACUCUUUGUACCCACUGUGGGAAAGCCUGAGUGAUCCAUUGCGGAACAAGUUCUCAGGGCAGCCCUCCAUCACAAGUGGCCACUGGGAUCAUCUCAGCAGAGGACACUUUCCCCGCAGCCUCCGCUCGGCAGCCUGUCCUGCCAGCCCUGGAAAUCACUACCCUUGCUUCCCUUUGUCUUCUCAGAUGUCUCAAAAGCACUUCCUCUGCUGUCAGCACGCCCCAGUAGCAAAGCUGUGUGGGUGGGACAUGCAUCAAGAGAUGCAAGAGCCAGCUCCUCUGCUGCUAAACGAUUCUCCUCUCUGGAAUGGCUCUUUGAGACCAUCGGCAUCUGCCAGGGCAUCCCCCAUUUCAGCACACACAGGGGAUGAAGGCAUCAAUGUAGCAUUCCCCAGGGAACAACGCUGCCCCAUAGCCAUGAAGAAACGGGCCAAAACCUUGUCAGAAAUGCAACUUUUCUCAAGUUCUCUCCCUUCCUCUUUCUAGGGGACCUUUGUGAGACGCGCCUCCUUCAUCGAGCAGCGCUUCCUCCAAUAAGAUUACCGGCAUUGACUGUAAUGCCAGGGAGAGACCAGAAAGCCGAGGAGAAAGACCCUCGCACCAGGUGAGACUCCUGGCAAAAGAAACGCGGGUGAUGCCAUGCUCUUGCCUCUGUGGGAGUGAAGUUUAUCUGGAGGGUAUCCGGAGACUGUAUGAACUCAUCCUACCACAUUGCGAUUCCUUGCUCACGACAAAAGUCCCAUAGCAUUACUUCUUAGCUGGGUAACUAAUGGCAAAAGCUCCUUGCAAGAGCGCAGAGUCUUUC
rnacentral:lncRNA from 1 species